rnacentral:lncRNA from 1 species
UGCAAAUGAGAGAAAAGUUUUCAUUGAAAUACUUACUUGGAUUUCAGGGUCUGAGUGGUUAGGAAAUUAGGGAAAAUCAUAUGCAGACCCCAUAGCAUUCUCAAGUGUGACUGCUUUGAGCAGAGAUUUGUUUUUUUGUGGCUAAGAGGGAAACAGAAAAGUGCCCAUUAAACUAUUGUAUCUAUUGUAUAUUGAUUAUAUGGCCUUCCUCAUACUUGGAGAGAAACUGCUAAGACCUGUUUUCCCUCAGCUUCUAGUUAUCAUUCUUGUCCAUAAGUGUCAUUUCUGAUGUCAGUGACUUCAAAAGGUCAUUUCUUUUAUCUGAAUGAAAAUAGUGGUAUUAAGACUGUGGAAAUUAUGUAAAACCUGAAAUAGUUUCUAAUAGCAGCUGAGGGUUGUAAAGCUCCUUGACGUUAAUUACGCAUAUGCCAGACAAACCUCUUAUUUUCUGUUUAGCUGUGCAUAUUUAAAAGGUUGAAAAUCAUUUCUUUGACUAAAUUUUUUCACAUAACAUUAGCAUUUUCUAGAUAAUAACUAUGACUGGAUAUUUCAGUUGAUCAAAAACAGUUGUAACCUGCCUUUUGUUUUUUUUAAAAUCACUGGAAACUUGAAUUUGAUAAAAAUUUUAUGCCACUUGAAGUUUCUAAAAUAAUAUUGUAUGAAACAUGUAUUGUGUAAAUAUUUGAUGCUGGGUUCAUGAAAUGAUACUUCUGAAAUCAAAACUUCUCUUACGGCAUGAAGUUGCAGAAACCUCAGUGUGUAUACUCAGAUAUUCAAAUGGUUGCCUCCAUAGAAUUGUCUGCUUUUUAAAACUGGAAGUACAGAAUGUUCUUCUGGUAAAAGUUGUGUGUUCCUCAAAGUUGUAGCUGGAGGAAGUAUGCUGUUGGAGAAUCAGUUAGCUGAUUGAUUAAAGAGCGUCGAUGUUGUAACGUGCCUU